GGUCUUAUAUUCAAUUAUGAUAUUAAAUUGCAAAUUUAAAGGUAGAUUAAUCUUAAGGCUU
rnacentral:tRNA from 2 species